AUACGUAGGUGGCAAGCGUUGUCCGGAAUUAUUGGGCGUAAAGCGCGCGCAGGCGGUCCUUUAAGUCUGAUGUGAAAGCCCACGGCUCAACCGUGGAGGGUCAUUGGAAACUGGGGGACUUGAGUGCAGAAGAGGAGAGUGGAAUUCCACGUGUAGCGGUGAAAUGCGUAGAGAUGUGGAGGAACACCAGUGGCGAAGGCGACUCUCUGGUCUGUAACUGACGCUGAGGCGCGAAAGCGUGGGGAGCGAACAGGAUUAGAUACCCUGGUAGUCCACGCCGUAAACGAUGAGUGCUAAGUGUUAGAGGGUUUCCGCCCUUUAGUGCUGCAGCAAACGCAUUAAGCACUCCGCCUGGGGAGUACGGCCGCAAGGCUGAA
rnacentral:rRNA from 1 species